rnacentral:rRNA from 1 species
UACGAAGGGGGCUAGCGUUGCUCGGAAUCACUGGGCGUAAAGCGCACGUAGGCGGCUUGUUAAGUCAGGGGUGAAAUCCUGGAGCUCAACUCCAGAACUGCCUUUGAUACUGGCGAGCUUGAGUCCGGGAGAGGUGAGUGGAACUGCGAGUGUAGAGGUGAAAUGCGCAGAUAUCAGGAAGAACACCCGUGGCGAAGGCGGCUCUCUGGGACGGUACUGACGCUGAGACGCGAAAGCGUGGGGAGCGAACAGG